GACGAACGCUGGCGGCGUGCCUAAUACAUGCAAGUAGAACGCUGAAGGAGGAGCUUGCUUCUCUGGAUGAGUUGCGAACGGGUGAGUAACGCGUAGGUAACCUGCCUGGUAGCGGGGGAUAACUAUUGGAAACGAUAGCUAAUACCGCAUAAGAGUAGAUGUUGCAUGACAUUUGCUUAAAAGGUGCAAUUGCAUCACUACCAGAUGGACCUGCGUUGGAUUAGCUAGUUGGUGGGGUAACGGCUCACCAAGGCGACGAUACAUAGCCGACCUGAGAGGGGGGUCGGCCCACAUGGGACUGAGACACGGCCCAGAAUCCUACGGGAGGCAACAGUAGGGAAUCUUCGGCAAUGGACGGAAGUCUGACCGAGCAACGCCGCGUGAGUGAAGAAGGUUUUCGGAUCGUAAAGCUCUGUUGUAAGAGAAGAACGAGUGUGGGAGUGGAAAGUUCACACUGUGACGGUAUCUUACCAGAAAGGGACGGCUAACUACGUG
rnacentral:rRNA from 1 species